CAGCAGCCGCGGUAAUACGUAGGUCCCGAGCGUUGUCCGGAUUUAUUGGGCGUAAAGGGAGCGCAGGCGGUUUAGUAAGUCUGAAGUUAAAGGCAUUGGCUCAACCAAUGUAUGCUUUGGAAACUGUUAGACUUGAGUGCAGAAGGGGAGAGUGGAAUUCCAUGUGUAGCGGUGAAAUGCGUAGAUAUAUGGAGGAACACCGGUUGCGAAAGCGGCUCUCUGGUCUGUCACUGACGCUGAGGCUCGAAAGCGUAGGUAGCGAACAGGAUUAGAUACCCCAGUAGUCCCUGUCUCUUAUACC
rnacentral:rRNA from 1 species